rnacentral:rRNA from 1 species
UACGGGGGGGGCAAGCGUUGUUCGGAAUUACUGGGCGUAAAGGGCUCGUAGGCGGCCAACUAAGUCCGACGUGAAAUCCCAAGGCUUAACCUUGGAACUGCGUCGGAUACUGGAUGGCUUGAAUUCGGGAGAGGGAUGCGGAAUUCCAGGUGUAGCGGUGAAAUGCGUAGAUAUCUGGAGGAACACCGGUGGCGAAGGCGGUUCUCUGGGCCUGUACUGACGCUGAGGAGCGAAAGCGUGGGGAGCGAACAGG